AUCAGGAGAUCCGAGUAGAGGCAUAGCGGACUGCGCACGGAGAAGCCUUGAGGGAAUGCCGUAGGACCCGGGUUCGAUUCCCGGCAGCUCCACCGAAUAGAAGCUGGUCAGAGCCCUAAAGCUCUGGCCAGUUUUCUUUUCCAUCAACAUCUCGUCAACAUUGAGCGAUAUUCUGCUUCUGUGGCCUCGCUUCGGGAGAUGACGCGCAAGGACGGCACCGGCUACGUCCAGGUGCUCUACCGACUCGACGGCAGACAGACUUCGAUGUCUUUUGAAGACCUGAAGUCGGCGACGAAAUUCAAGAAACUGGCCGAUCGGUUCGGGCCGGCGAAGGCCCUCGAGGUGAUCGGGACCGACCCAGAAUUGUCGACGAUGACGGUCGGGGAGUGGCUUGAGCACCACAUCACCCAUCUGACCGGAGUACGCAAGUCGACACUCUACGACUAUCGGUCGUAUGCCCAGAAGGACAUCGGGCCGGUCCUCGGG
rnacentral:tmRNA from 1 species